rnacentral:SRP_RNA from 2 species
CAUCGGGCCCUGCGCGGCGGGAAACCGCGAACCGAGUCAGGUCCGGAAGGAAGCAGCUCUAAGCGGGCCUUCCUGGGCGCCGCAGUCCCGCCUGAUGUCC